rnacentral:rRNA from 1 species
CCUGGCUCAGGAUGAACGCUAGCUACAGGCUUAACACAUGCAAGUCGAGGGGCAGCAUGGUCUUAGCUUGCUAAGGCCGAUGGCGACCGGCGCACGGGUGAGUAACACGUAUCCAACCUGCCGUCUACUCUUGGACAGCCUUCUGAAAGGAAGAUUAAUACAAGAUGGCAUCAUGAGUCCGCAUGUUCACAUGAUUAAAGGUAUUCCGGUAGACGAUGGGGAUGCGUUCCAUUAGAUAGUAGGCGGGGUAACGGCCCACCUAGUCUUCGAUGGAUAGGGGUUCUGAGAGGAAGGUCCCCCACAUUGGAACUGAGACACGGUCCAAACUCCUACGGGAGGCAGCAGUGAGGAAUAUUGGUCAAUGGGCGAGAGCCUGAACCAGCCAAGUAGCGUGAAGGAUGACUGCCCUAUGGGUUGUAAACUUCUUUUAUAAAGGAAUAAAGUCGGGUAUGGAUACCCGUUUGCAUGUACUUUAUGAAUAAGGAUCGGCUAACUCCGUGCCAGCAGCCGCGGUAAUACGGAGGAUCCGAGCGUUAUCCGGAUUUAUUGGGUUUAAAGGGAGCGUAGAUGGAUGUUUAAGUCAGUUGUGAAAGUUUGCGGCUCAACCGUAAAAUUGCAGUUGAUACUGGAUAUCUUGAGUGCAGUUGAGGCAGGCGGAAUUCGUGGUGUAGCGGUGAAAUGCUUAGAUAUCACGAAGAACUCCGAUUGCGAAGGCAGCCUGCUAAGCUGCAACUGACAUUGAGGCUCGAAAGUGUGGGUAUCAAACAGGAUUAGAUACCCUGGUAGUCCACACGGUAAACGAUGAAUACUCGCUGUUUGCGAUAUACUGCAAGCGGCCAAGCGAAAGCGUUAAGUAUUCCACCUGGGGAGUACGCCGGCAACGGUGAAACUCAAAGGAAUUGACGGGGGCCCGCACAAGCGGAGGAACAUGUGGUUUAAUUCGAUGAUACGCGAGGAACCUUACCCGGGCUUAAAUUGCAGAUGAAUUACGGCGAAAGCCGUAAGCCGCAAGGCAUCUGUGAAGGUGCUGCAUGGUUGUCGUCAGCUCGUGCCGUGAGGUGUCGGCUUAAGUGCCAUAACGAGCGCAACCCUUGUUGUCAGUUACUAACAGGUUCCGCUGAGGACUCUGACAAGACUGCCAUCGUAAGAUGUGAGGAAGGUGGGGAUGACGUCAAAUCAGCACGGCCCUUACGUCCGGGGCUACACACGUGUUACAAUGGGGGGUACAGAGGGCCGCUACCACGCGAGUGGAUGCCAAUCCCCAAAACCUCUCUCAGUUCGGACUGGAGUCUGCAACCCGACUCCACGAAGCUGGAUUCGCUAGUAAUCGCGCAUCAGCCACGGCGCGGUGAAUACGUUCCCGGGCCUUG